rnacentral:rRNA from 1 species
GUCUACGGCUGUGCCACUCUGAACAAGCCCGAUCCUGUCUGAUCUCGGAAGCUAACCAGGGUUGGGGCUGGUUAGUACUUGGAUGGGAGACCAUCUAGAAAGACCAGGUGCUGUAGGCA